AAAGUCGUAACAAGGUUUCCGUAGGUGAACCUGCGGAAGGAUCAUUACCGAGUGCGUCCGUUAAUUCGGACUCCUCCCACCCUUGUGUAUUCUAUGCUGAUAAGCAGCUUCGGCGGGUCGUUUCUUUUUUCUUUUGAACGAAUCUCUUCGGAGUGCAAGUCUUUAAAAAAAAAGGAAGAGAAACAUCGGCCCUCAAAAAGCGGAUCUGUUGCCCGCCGAAGGACCAACUCUUGAUAACUUUGAAGUCUGAUAAAAAACUUGAUAAUAAAUCAAAACUUUCAACAACGGAUCUCUUGGUUCUG
rnacentral:misc_RNA from 1 species